rnacentral:miRNA from 1 species
CCGCUGAGUGGGGAGGAGAGAGGGACAGAGAGCCUGCUUCUUUAAAGGAGCAAAGCGGGAGAGGAGAGGAGCCGCUUACACAAGUGUAAGCGGCUCCUGUCCGGUUGGUUCCUUUAAAGCAAGCAGGCUCUCUGUCCCUCUCUCCUCCCCACUCAGCU